UACGUAGGGUGCAAGCGUUAAUCGGAAUUACUGGGCGUAAAGCGUGCGCAGGCGGCUUUGCAAGACAGAUGUGAAAUCCCCCGGGCUUAACCUGGGAACUGCAUUUGUGACUGCAUGGCUAGAGUGCGGGCAGAGGGGGAUGGAAUUCCGCGUGUAGCAGUGAAAUGCGUAGAUAAUGCGGAGGAACACCGAUGGCGAAGGCAAUCCCCCUGGGCCUGC
rnacentral:rRNA from 1 species